UCUAGUUACCCAGUAAAAGACUAUCAAUACACAAAAUAAAGGCCCCUAGGAAAAUAAUAAAUUAAUGUUCAUUUAAAAAGUAAGUUCUUAUCAGUUCGGCACCAACUUUUGGCUUGGCACGAGCUUUUCGCUUGGCACAAGCUUUUGGCUUGGCUCAAACUGUCGGCGCGGAUUUGCACUGGCGCUUUCUUGGAUUACAACUGCGCGAAAAGGAGCGCUUCAUAUGGUAUUUAUUUGAUGUGUAUGAUGUCAGCUAUUAACUGUGAUUAUGUUCCUUCCGCCUGUGAGUGUUGGGUAUGGUCAGUUCAAAUUUCGUAUUGGAAGCGCGUUAAAGCACGCAAUGCACGAAGGGGAGGAAAAGCACGAAAACGAAGGAUACAGCGAGAGAAGAAGCAUAGGCGCGCAGCAGUGCUAAAGGAAACACAUGUUCGCACCAAAUCGAUGAUAUAAGAUAAAAUGAACAAUAAAUAAAAAAAUAUCAAAACAU
rnacentral:sRNA from 1 species